AACAGCUUUCACUGACCAAGGUGCACUGAAUUUGAAACUGAGCACUGCUUGUCAGCUGAAAGCAGAAUGGCAGGAGAGGCAGAGAAAGAGGCAGAGAAAGAGGCAGAGAGAGAGAGACAGAGACGACUGAGUGCGCCUAAAGCUGAACCAGGAAGCAAGAACCGUAGUACGCCCAUAAAGUUGCUGCCCUGCUAUGAUAAGUAUUAACUUGUGACUUUUUAAAGUUUCCUGAGGAGCACAUUGGAAGACUACAGCCGAUUGCAUACACAUCACGGAUCCUGCAGGAAGCGGAGAAUACGUAUAUUCAAAUGUCACCUGCUCACUAUGUUUUGGAUGUUACAACGUUUUACGUACCUCACAGGUCUGCAGCAAAUCAUUUUACAUUCACUACAUCACUGAAUCUACUGAUGAAGCCAGGAGAUUCACUGGUCUCAUCCCAGCAGCUCAGCAAGUGGACUUUAGAGUUAUUAUACAGAGACAUUGACAUCAUGCCGAAGGCAACGAUGUUACUACCCCAAUUGUUGGCAUUUGAGGGCGAUCCUCGUAAUUGCCCACUACCUCUCAUUAACUUUGAUUCACACCCUGUACUGAAAGACCUAUUAAGGUCACUCCAGAUGUGGUUGUAGAUGGAUCUUCCUAUCACUUGCAAGGAUCACCGCUUACAGGUUAUGCCAUGAUACUGGGGAGGGUUAUUAAAAGAUGCUGCAGUAGACAUUCUUCCCAGAAUGCUGAAAUACUUGCAUGGCUAGCUGCUGUCAGAAAGACAUCUGAUCUACCAGUAAACAUUUGGUCUGACAGUGCCUAUGCUAUCGAUGCUGUACUAGCCCUUCCCCUUGUUAGGGGGAAAUUAAAAAUGCUAAAAGAGAAUAUAGUAAGAAUUUACUGAAAAACCCUUAAAACCUCCAGGCAGACACGGCUGCUAAACAUAUUAAAAGUUGAAGAUUACCGGAUGAACAUUGCACAGCGUGGAGAGUCAGACUGGAGACACAAGCAGGACAUAAAUUAGAUUAAGUGUACUCCCGUCUCACAUAGGAAAGGGGCAGAUGGUUUUAUCUUAGAUUUGGGAAGACAUACAGUAGAUAAAGAGGGGGCUUUGAUGAAACACAAACAGUCUUAAGCUGUGAGAAACAAGGUCUUUGCGUACAUGUUUUAGUUUUGAUUGGACAAUAUAAUUAUGUAUGCAUCCUCUAGAAUAAUUGGUUAGCAAAAUCACAUGUUUAUGUACUCACUAGGAUAGAGUUAUCAUGGGACCGGUGUGUCGGUUACCGAUUGGAUGUAUUCAAAUGUACUCAUAUGUAUUAUGAUAAGAAAAAGUACAAAAGUAACGAAAUGUAAUCAAGCUGGCAGCUGGGUUUUCAUUCUUAGGAAUGAUUGCGGCUCCCUUUCAUAUGCUUGAAUAAAACCAGUUAAAAGGAAGCCUGAGUUUCUGUCGUCGCUGUGGGAUCGGAGAGUAUAACUUCUCUUUUUCAAGUGGCCUACGUGGUAGUUGCAGGAUCGGAGGGUGUAACUUCUUCACCCUCUAUCACAAGAAUUUUUAUUUCACUAUUGAGGGUAAACCCCUAACCCAUGGUUCAUGGCUGAGAAUGUUGUAGACAGCGUCAAAUAAUCGCACCCAACGUAUUGGAAAGGUAGCUGCCCACAAGAAAGAACAGCCUCACACCGAGGGUAAUGCAGAAGCUGACAAGGCAGCCAAAGAGGCCACCGUAUCGGGAGAGUGGGAAUACUGAGUUUUGCCCCAUCGUGUCAGCAAUAAGCAUCAGUGAUCCCAUAGAUUUAGGCACUCUCCAGCAACAGUAUCAAACAUAUGCUGUUGUCAUUAAGAGGCACAAACAAGGUAAUCCUCUUCCCCAGCCAAUAUCCUGGGCCUCAGACAUGGCCAUGUCUAAGACUCAUGAUUCAGAUACCCAAUUACUGAUGCACCACUCUUUGGGCAGAUGUCCCAUUGUCUAUGUACCCUCUGAAGUGGGACAGGAGUUGCUACACUUGUUCUGUUCUCAUCCUGUAGGCAGCCAUUAUUCAGCAGAAGUCACUUACCAGAAAAUUGCAAAUACAGGCUGGUGGCCUGAUAUGCAGGAUGCUAUCGAGCAGUAUAUAUCACGAUGUUUACCAUGUCUUCAGCAGAAUCCCUCCCCGUCCAAUAAUAGGGCUCUAUUACAGAGUGCGUCUCCUCCAGAUGGACUAUGGACCCAUCUGCAGAUAGACUUUAUUGGACUCCUGCCAGCCACCUCCAGUAAUUACACCUAUGCAUUGGUUGUAAUUGACCAGUUCACAAGGUGGAUUGAAGCUUUUCCCUACAGAUCUAACAACGCACUCGUCACCACUAAGAUUCUAUUGAGUGAGGUAAUCUGUAGGUGGGGAUUGCUCUUGCAAGUGGACAGGGACCAGGGAUCACAUUUCACAGGGAAAGUUUUUACUCAGUUGCAAGAAUUGAUGGGAAUAAGAUACAAAUUGCACACCUCCCAUCACCCUCAGUCAUCUGGCAUAGUCAAAAGGGGAAACAGAACCUUAAAAACCAUGCUUAAAAAGUUACGUAUAGAUUACCCCACUCAAUGGGCUAAUAUGUUACCUUGGUGCCUCAUGGCCAUAAGGUCAACACCCCACAAAACGACAGGGAUUUCCCCAUUUCAGGCAAUGACAGGGAGACUCAUGAAAACCCCAGGCCACCUAACAUUAACUGCAAUUAGUCUGAUGAUGCAGGGACCUUGCAGCUCCAAGUGGCUAGAAUGGAUAAUGGAGUAUACAGCUGAAGUAAACCAGGUGGCAAGAAGUUUGGGAAAGUCAAAGAAACAGGUCAAGAAAUAUUUUGACAGGAAAGUGAGACCUUUUGAAGUCCAGGUAGGGGUCAUGGUUAUGGUACUUAACGACAGUAAGUAGGAAAUAUAUAUUUGAACCAAAAUGGAAAGGACCAUUUUUCGUAAUAGACAAAUUGAAUUCAGCUGUAUACCUAGUACAGUUCCAUGGAAAAAGGAAUUUGAAAGGUAAAGACAGGAAGUGGUACCAUUUCAAUCAGUUGAAAGCUGUGAAAGAAUAAAUACUUCGCCUUUUUCAGUUUCAGGCCAAUUGCAAGGAUGCUUGUACUCGUACAGUUGCUGAUACUCGUCAAUGGCAUUCCGGCAACAAGUGUCUCGAUAUGGGGAUCAGAACGUAUACAGAUAAGAACAAUGAACGUGACCACAGAAGAUAGACAGCUGGACUCUACAGAUUACUGUGACACGAUUGUUUACUGUGAACAUUGCAAAUGGGAACCAUCCCAUGUCGAUGAUGGGAAUGAAGUAUUAUGGGUGUGGAAAGGUAAAGUAACUCACUCUAGUUACCAACAGCCAAUGAGAGAAAAACAUCACCCAGCAGAUGGCCUCUAGAGACAGUUAUUGAUAAGGGUUCUGCGAUGACGAGCUCAGGGUAUCAUUCAUGAGGGAAUGAUGAUACCAUGCCUCCCCUAUCCUAAACAGAUGGUCAAAGGAAAGUAUGAUAAAGCACCCUUUUGUCAGAACAGAAUAGAAAUAAACUCUAGUGAGAAGUAAUACCAAUUGAUGAUCAUCACCCUUGGGGUCAAUCACAGACUGAUCACGCACCCCUUAGGCCAAUCAGAAUACCAUAACAUCAUUGAUCACACUGUGGGUUGUGGCUUGGAAGAGUUAAUAAUUCAACAGCUUUCACUGACCAAGGCACGCUGAAUUUGAAACUGAGCACUGCUUGUCAGCUGAAAGCAGUAGAGCAGAAUCCAGAGAGAGAGACAGCAAGAGAGAGAAGACUUGAGUGUCAACCUGCACCCAAAGCAGAACCAGGAAGCAAGGACCAUAGUACGCCUGUAAAUUUGCUGCCAUGCUGUGAUAAGUAUUAAUUUAUGACUUAUUAAAGUUUCCUGAUUUACUUCA